rnacentral:rRNA from 1 species
GACGAACGCUUUCGGCGUGCUUAACACAUGCAAGUCGAACGGAAAGGCCCUGCUUUUGUGGGGUGCUCGAGUGGCGAACGGGUGAGUAACACGUGAGUAACCUGCCCUUGACUUUGGGAUAACUUCAGGAAACUGGGGCUAAUACCGGAUAGGAGCUCCUGCUGCAUGGUGGGGGUUGGAAAGUUUCGGCGGUUGGGGAUGGACUCGCGGCUUAUUAGCUUGUUGGUGGGGUAGUGGCUUACCAAGGCUUUGACGGGUAGCCGGCCUGAGAGGGUGACCGGCCACAUUGGGACUGAGAUACGGCCCAGACUCCUACGGGAGGCAGCAGUGGGGAAUAUUGCACAAUGGGCGGAAGCCUGAUGCAGCAACGCCGCGUGCGGGAUGACGGCCUUCGGGUUGUAAACCGCUUUCGCCUGUGACGAAGCGUGAGUGACGGUAAUGGGUAAAGAAGCACCGGCUAACUACGUGCCAGCAGCCGCGGUGAUACGUAGGGUGCGAGCGUUGUCCGGAUUUAUUGGGCGUAAAGGGCUCGUAGGUGGUUGAUCGCGUCGGAAGUGUAAUCUUGGGGCUUAACCCUGAGCGUGCUUUCGAUACGGGUUGACUUGAGGAAGGUAGGGGAGAAUGGAAUUCCUGGUGGAGCGGUGGAAUGCGCAGAUAUCAGGAGGAACACCAGUGGCGAAGGCGGUUCUCUGGGCCUUUCCUGACGCUGAGGAGCGAAAGCGUGGGGAGCGAACAGGCUUAGAUACCCUGGUAGUCCACGCUGUAAACGGUGGGUACUAGGUGUGGGGUCCAUUCCACGGGUUCCGUGCCGUAGCUAACGCUUUAAGUACCCCGCCUGGGGAGUACGGCCGCAAGGCUAAAACUCAAAGGAAUUGACGGGGCCCCGCACAAGCGGCGGAGCAUGCGGAUUAAUUCGAUGCAACGCGUAGAACCUUACCUGGGUUUGACAUGGAUCGGGAGUGCUCAGAGAUGGGUGUGCCUCUUUUGGGGUCGGUUCACAGGUGGUGCAUGGCUGUCGUCAGCUCGUGUCGUGAGAUGUUGGGUUAAGUCCCGCAACGAGCGCAACCCUUGUUCACUGUUGCCAGCACGUUAUGGUGGGGACUCAGUGGAGACCGCCGGGGUCAACUCGGAGGAAGGUGGGGAUGACGUCAAGUCAUCAUGCCCCUUAUGUCCAGGGCUUCACGCAUGCUACAGUGGCUGGUACAGAGAGUGGCGAGCCUGUGAGGGUGAGCGAAUCUCGGAAAGCCGGUCUCAGUUCGGAUUGGGGUCUGCAACUCGACCUCAUGAAGUCGGAGUCGCUAGUAAUCGCAGAUCAGCAACGCUGCGGUGAAUACGUUCCCGGG